CAGGACGAACGCUGGCGGCGUGCCUAAUACAAUGCAAGUCGAACGGCUUUUCUAUGGAAGCUUGCUUCCACUGAGAAGAUAGUGGCGAACGGGUGAGUAACACGUGGGUAACCUGCCCAUAAGAGGGGGGAUAACAUCCGGAAACGGGUGCUAAUACCGCAUAGUUUUCUUGAUCGCAUGAUUGGGAAAGGAAAGACGGCCUUUGUGCUGUCGCUUAUGGAUGGACCCGCGGCGUAUUAGUUAGUUGGUGAGGUAACGGCUCACCAAGACGAUGAUACGUAGCCGACCUGAGAGGGUGAUCGGCCACAUUGGGACUGAGACACGGCCCAAACUCCUACGGGAGGCAGCAGUAGGGAAUCUUCCGCAAUGGACGAAAGUCUGACGGAGCAACGCCGCGUGAGUGAAAGAAGGUUUUCGGAUCGUAAAACUCUGUUGUCAGAGAAGAACAAGUUGGAGAGUAACUGCUCCAGCCUUGACGGUAUCUGACCAGAAAGCCACGGCUAACUACGUGCCAGCCGCCGC
rnacentral:rRNA from 1 species